AUUGAACGCUGGCGGCAUGCCUUACACAUGCAAGUCGAACGGCAGCAUGAUCUAGCUUGCUAGAUUGAUGGCGAGUGGCGAACGGGUGAGUAAUACAUCGGAACGUGCCCUGUAGUGGGGGAUAACUAGUCGAAAGAUUAGCUAAUACCGCAUACGACCUGAGGGUGAAAGUGGGGGACCGCAAGGCCUCAUGCUAUAUGCGCGGCCGAUGGGUGAUUAGCUAGUUGGUGAGGUAAAGGCUCACCAAGGCGACGAUCAGUAGCUGGUCUGAGAGGACGCUCAACCACACUGGGAAUGAAACACGGCCCAGACUCCUACGGUAGGCAGCAGUGGGGAAUUUUGGACAAUGGGGGCAACCCUGGUCCAGCAAUGCAGCGUGUGUGAAGAAGGCCUUCGGGUUGUAAAGCACUUUUGUCCAGAAAGAAAUCGCACUUACUAAUAUUAGGUGUGGAUGACGGUACCGGAAGAAUAAGGACCGGCUAACUACGUGCCAGCCGCCGCCGUAAUAC
rnacentral:rRNA from 1 species